rnacentral:rRNA from 1 species
AUUGAACGCUGGCGGCAGGCCUAACACAUGCAAGUCGAACGGUAACAGGAAACAGCUUGCUGUUUCGCUGACGAGUGGCGGACGGGUGAGUAAUGUCUGGGAAACUGCCUGAUGGAGGGGGAUAACUACUGGAAACGGUAGCUAAUACCGCAUAACGUCGCAAGACCAAAGAGGGGGACCUUCGGGCCUCUUGCCAUCGGAUGUGCCCAGAUGGGAUUAGCUAGUAGGUGGGGUAACGGCUCACCUAGGCGACGAUCCCUAGCCGGUCUGAGAGGAUGACCAGCCACACUGGAACUGAGACACGGUCCAGACUCCUACGGGAGGCAGCAGUGGGGAAUAUUGCACAAUGGGCGCAAGCCUGAUGCAGCCAUGCCGCGUGUAUGAAGAAGGCCUUCGGGUUGUAAAGUACUUUCAGCGGGGAGGAAGGGAGUAAAGUUAAUACCUUUACUCAUUGACGUUACCCGCAGAAGAAGCACCGGCUAACUCCGUG